CAGUCGCCACGGGAAUACGUAGGUGGCAAGCGUUGUCCGGAAUUAUUGGGCGUAAAGGGCUCGCAGGCGGUUUCUUAAGUCUGAUGUGAAAGCCCCCGGCUCAACCGGGGAGGGUCAUUGGAAACUGGGAAACUUGAGUGCAGAAGAGGAGAGUGGAAUUCCACGUGUAGCGGUGAAAUGCGUAGAGAUCGGAAGGAACGCCCGUGGCGAAAGCGAGCUCCUGGACGCUUUCUGACGCUGAGACGCGAAAGCCAGGGGAGCGAACGGGAUUAGAUACCCGGGUAGUCCCUGUCUCUUAUAC
rnacentral:rRNA from 1 species